GACGAACGCUGGCGGCGUGCUUAACACAUGCAAGUCGAACGGAAAGGCCUUUUCGGUGGUACUCGAGUGGCGAACGGGUGAGUAACACGUGGGUGAUCUGCCCUGCCCUCUCGGAUAAGCCUGGUCAACUGGGUCUAAUACCGGCUAGGACCGCACUUUAGUGUGUGUGUUGGAAAGUUUUUUGGGUGUAGGAUGAGCCCGCGGCCUAUCAGCUUGUUGGUGGGGUAAUGGUCUACCAAGGCGGCGACGGGUACCCGGACUGGGCGGUUGGUCGGCCACAUUGGGAAUGAGAUACGGCCCAGAAUCCUACGGGAGGGAGGAGUGGGGAAUAUUGCACAAUGGGGGCAAGGCUGAUGCAGCGACGCCGCGGGGGGGAUGACGGCCUUUGGGGUGGAAAAUCCUUUCGGCAGGGACGAAGCGUUUUGUGACGGUACCUGGAGAAGAAGCACCGGCUAACUACGUG
rnacentral:rRNA from 1 species